UUCAUACUCCCUCCGUCCGGAAUUACUUGUCAAGGAAAUGGAUGUAUGUAGACAUUUUUUAGUUCUAAAUACAUCCAUUUUUAUUCAUUUUAGAGACAAGUAAUUUCGGACGAAGGGAGUAGAUG
rfam:Triticum aestivum genome assembly, contig: Triticum_aestivum_CS42_TGACv1_scaffold_363169_4DS